rnacentral:rRNA from 1 species
CCCCUAGAUGUUCUGGGCCGCACGCGCGCUACACUGAACAGUUCAACAAGUCUUAACCUUGGCCGAUAGGUCUGGGUAAUCUUUGAACGCUGUUCGUGAUUGGGAUAGACCUUUGCAAUUAUGGGUCUUCAACGAGGAAUUCCUAGUAAACGCAAGUCAUCAGCUUGCAUUGAUUACGUCCCUGCCCUUUGUACACACCGCCCGUCGCUGCCCGGAACUGAGCCAUUUCGAGAAAAAUGGGGACAGACUGCUUGUGGGUGCGCAAGCACUUCUUGCAGAUUGAAACCAUCUUGAUCGGUAUGGCUUGAACCGGGCAAAAGUCGUANCA